rnacentral:lncRNA from 1 species
CUUGUAAGCUCCAUGAAGGCAGUGGAAAUAACUGUCUUGUUCAUCACUGUAUCCUCAGUGCUUUGUUUAGUACAGCGCCUGGCACAUAGGAAGCACAGAAUGCAUGCUUGCUUAAUGACUAUGUGGAUAAGCCAAAACUGGCCACCAGUGCAAUAAUGAGGUCUGAAAAGCAUAUAAUGUUGGUGCAAUGUUUAGUAUCCUGAAGUACAUUCCUGCUUCUGGAAAAGAGAUUUCCCUUCCAGUUUAAAUGUCCUGAAUUACGUUUAGCCACAUUGCCACCUUUCAAAAUCUAAGAGAUUCUUAGACUAUAAGCGCAAUUCCAAAUACACAGACAUUCCUGGCAACUGAAGGAACACCCAUGAAUGUCAGAGGGACUUUCUUUAAAUGAAUCGGAUUUAUAGGGUGAGAAGAGCUAUGUGAAUCUAGGCCAGAGGCCAAAGUUCCUCAUUUAUUCCAUCGUUGGCAAGUGAGGGCCUCAACAAGAUAUAAAAACUCCUGACUUCUGCAAACCUGCCCUUGACGAACACUCAGUUGAGAAAGCUGUGUGCACACCUGUCUCUGUCCGCUCUGCUCUGGUGUCUGGCUGCUUCAGGCAUAAUUCAGUCCCUUGGAAGAAACAUGGACAUUGCAAGAGUGGCUGUGCUACUUUCUAGCUGCGUGGCCCUGAUCGGCUCACUUUACCUCUCUUUGCCUGCAAAAUGAGGAGGUGGGUCCUCUAAUAUCCAACUCAGCUUGAGUGUCUAGAAAAUUGGAACCCAGUCCCUGAGGGCCAAGACACAACUCAGCUAUUCUACUUACUGGCUGUCUGAUUUAUCAGUGACCAAAUUCAUUUUGCACUGUUAGAGGAGGAACACUUCCUCGUAUCAGAAACCAGGUCUCAUUUUGGACAAUGAAGUCAAUUUAGUGUGAACUCUCCACUAGAUUGUGAGCUCACUGAGGACAGAAGCUGCGUCAUGCCCUGUUUCUACAGUGCCUGGUUUAUAGCAGAUCCUCAACAAACGUUUGUCAGUGAAGGAAUGAAGCUUCAUCUCUGUUCCGGGUGCCCACAGGGCUGUGAAGGCCAGGAAAAUGGUCACCAGAUCAUCUCUCCCCUGAUCAUGUCUGCGACUGACUAGAGAGACAGCUGAGAGUCAAAGGUGAACAACCACACUUGUGAGAGCCUAGUGACACGUACAUACUCCUGGCCCACAGUUGGCAGGAGAAGCAUCUCUGCCCUCCUGGUGACCCACUCCUCAUGACCCACAGGAGCAAAGGAGCCUUUGCACUUGAAGCGAUGGUGUUUAAGGACUUGGUUCCACAGCCAGAGCAUCUGAUUUGAAGUUGAACUCUGCCUUUUACUAGUCAUGUGAUUUUGGGCUAGUUAAUUAACCUUAAGUGCCUCAGUUUUUUCAUCUAUGAGAUAGGGACCAUGAUAUGACUUGCCAGGCAGAGUAUCUGCAAUGUUUCAAUGACACAUGUAAAGCACUUAGAACAGGACCUGAAACAUAUUAGGC